GCCCGCCCGGGGCGAGCCCUGCAGUCGAGGCCCCGGAGUGGAAUCUGUGAAUGAGGUUACGAGCCGUCUACGCGUAAGCGGCGUCGUUGGCGUCUCCCGACUCGUCUUGAAGACUUUUCGUUUGUUCUUCAACACACUCUAAAGAACUUGUUUGCCAGCACUGCUCGCACCAGAGACACGGCCAAGAGCCAGAUGCAAACAUAGUUACCACCCCAAUGUGGCUCCAGCUGUGGUGGAAAGCAAGAGGAUCUACUUUAGGGGGUGACAAUCAAGCCGACUGGAAGGCCUGAGUAGGAUCCAAACAGGAAGAUUUGGAGAAAAGUCGCCUGGGGACAGAGGACGGCAAGAGUACAGGUCUGGUAGUCAGGACCACCCUGGUAGCUGGAUAGAAUCAGGGUAUAACCAACAGUGGUACCCUCAGAAGUAUGGCUGGAGGUCUAUGAGAUAUAUCAAACGGAGAAGAUCUUGUAGGUGGUAAGAAUUUCAGUGAUACUGUAAUUUGUAAUUUGGGAGCCACAAACAGAGAAAUAAGUCUGGAAGAACUCACUCAAGCUAAACCUAUACAGAAAAGGGAAUGAGGCCCAGGGCAGGAACUACCCGUGUUUUCCUCCUUUCCAGCUCUCCCACCAGGCAUCCUGGUAUUGGUCUGCACACCCCUUCUUUUCCCACACUCUACUGUGGGUCCUGAGCCAGCACUGCAUGAAUGUUGAGCUGACCACAAAGCGCUGUUAUCCUCUGCCCCUGGCCAGAGGACCUGUCAUAUUGGCUUGGCACACACCCAGGAGCUCAGUGCUGCUGGGAACUGAGCGUCUGAAAGCAGAAGCAACCGAUCCUUCCUGGCACAGAAGUCAGCCCAGGCUCUAUGCCAGUCCACAGAGCUGAGAUCCCACCAUCCCCCACCCCUCACCCUUCAGGACGGUUUAGUCCUGCCCACUGCUCCUCCUUGGUUACAGCUUCAAGCAUCCAAAAGCUUCGCACCGCCUUCAGCCUCAUAAGUUGGGGGCGGCCCAAUUAAGAAACUUCAUGGCAACUUCAAAGCCAAGGAAGCAGGCCUGAAAAGGGGUUGGAAGGAAGAGAUAAGCUAGCAGAAGAUGUGACUAUUUACAGAGACCCCUAGCACCAUGCCUGACUGGUCCUAUAAGAACUCCUCCAGAACCUCACUUCCACCCAGAUCAGAAAAUCAAGUAGUGCUUUCUCAUUUCUAAGAGGAGAACAAAAUACAUAUCCCACAAAUGCCCACUUAUGACAUGGUCAGGUCUGGAAAUCAAAGCCUGUAGCCUCAGAGAAUCCCAAGUUCAGAUCAUCCUAACAGCUUGAGGAAUGGCAGCAAAUAAGGAAGCUCUGGAUGAGGACAGGAUCUGGGAAAACUGGGUCCCUAAUCCAAUCCAAGGAGCAGAUGAAAGUCAGUCUACCUGCACCCUAGUUCUGAGCCCUGAAAGGAAAGCACAAUCCCUGCCAGCCACUUACCGCAUUGGCUGGGAAGGCUCGGAUCAUCACAGCAUUGAAGCCCUUGUACAAGGACGUGACUCCUUCAUUCCGGAUCAGCUCCCUCAGCACAUCUUGGAAACCAUUAGGAUAUUUCCCAGGAGGUGCUGUGGACAGAACCCAACUUUUAAGGCUUCAGGAAGUUUCUAAUCUCACCAUGAUGACCCACACAGGGAAAACCUAAGUCUUUCUACAAUGUAACAGCAUCAGGAAGAGGACACCUUGCAAGUCAUCUAGGAGCAGAUCUCAGACAACAUAGUUUGUUGUCAGAUACAACAUAGUUUGGGACAGAUACAAAUGCCUGGAUUACUGGUGAUGAGGAUGGAGAAGGAAAUAAUCUUUCUGCUCAUGUGGCAAAAGGAAAAUGAAUUUGACUUGUCAUCUCAAUUUAUUUUGUAUUUAGGCCAAGAUGAAAAUGAGUGUAGCGUUCCUAGAACACAAAUGACUAUGAGGGAGAAUGCUGACCAGACAGAUGCUGAGGGCUGCCACAGAAAAUGUGUUUGCGGAGGGCCUUAAGAGCUCUCUACCCCAGGGGCAACCUGUUUAGGGACCUACUCCAUCCCCACCCCUAUCUACCCUACAAUCCCCUCCACUCACCAGUCUGGAAGCGGGACUUGAGCACAUCUGGAGGGAUAGCCACAGCCCAGUUGAAGAUUCCUGCAAUGCCCCCAGCUGUGAGGAUUCGAGGCACGCUGAGCUCAUUGACACUGCAGAAUACCAACCAGAGCCCCAGUCAGACAAAGGCUGCGAGACAGGCAUCAGACCAUCCCUCCUGUGUCAGACAAGGCAGUUACAGAGAUGGAGAAACUAGCUGGAGGGAGGAGGUCCAAGGUCAGAGAUCCUGUGACAUGGCGGCUCCCACUCCUUGGAGAAGGUUUCAAGCACUCAUUUCAAAUACUUGCCUUAUUGGGUGAGGCACAGAGUAAGCAAUAUUUGCUGGAUAUCAGCAGCAAUGAAAGAAAAGUCUAUAUGGAGCCAGAAGCAUGUCCUAUUCUGCCUUCAGACCCACUCACAGGAAAGGGCAACCUACUCAUGACUGGGCCAAGAGGUUUCUAAGUUCUUCUGUUUUCCUCACCUCUUUCCCUCUGGAGUGAAGAUAUUUUUCAACCACUCAUAUGUCAUGAAAUACAUCCCACUUGCUGGAACAUCUGUUAGUAGCAAGAAAGAGGUGAAUUAAAUGACAUAAAGUUAUAUAGACUAUAUAAGUUCAG